GAUGAACGCUGGCGGCGUGCCUAAUACAUGCAAGUCGAGCGAACAGACGAGGAGCUUGCUCCUCUGACGUUAGCGGCGGACGGGUGAGUAACACGUGGAUAACCUACCUAUAAGACUGGGAUAACUUCGGGAAACCGGAGCUAAUACCGGAUAAUAUAUUGAACCGCAUGGUUCAAUAGUGAAAGACGGUUUUGCUGUCACUUAUAGAUGGAUCCGCGCCGCAUUAGCUAGUUGGUAAGGUAAAGGCUUACCAAGGCAACGAUGCGUAGCCGACCUGAGAGGGUGAUCGGCCACACUGGAACUGGGACACGGUCCAGACUCCUACGGGAGGCAGCAGUAGGGAAUCUUCCGCAAUGGGCGAAAGCUUGACGUAGCAACGCCGCGUGAGUGAUGAAGGUAUUCGGAUCGUAAAACUCUGUUAUUAGGGAAGAACAAAUGUGUAAGUAACUAUGCACGUCUUGACGGUACCUAAUCAGAAAGCCACGGCUAACUACGUG
rnacentral:rRNA from 1 species